UUACAAUUUGGUCCUUGACUUUACAAUUUUGACAAAUAUGUCCUUUGGUCACAGAUUGCCAAUUACACAUUUUCCUAACAAACUCCCCCUUUGGCAUUCUGUGACAAAAAUACAUAUGACAGUCAAGGACAUAAAUAAAAAUGACUCCAAACAACCUAUCUAUUCAACCAAAGCAGCUAUCUCUUGUUGAACCUGUUUCCUGAAAAUCAAAAACUCAAAUACCAAGUGUAAAAGCGUGUGAAAUGGAAACAGUAAAUAAAAACAAGAAAUAGAUCAUACGUCAUUAACCAGAUUAAGAAGCAAUAAUAAUGUAAGUCAAAAACACCAAAAACAUACAUUAAUAUUGCCAAAACAUCAAAAACUUAGUCUAGUCAUGAAUUAUAUACACAUCAUCUUUAUAUCACAAUUACCAAAAAAUCGAUAUCUAUCUAUCCAACUCUAUCCAAAAUAUCUACUCCCCCUUUUUGUCACGAAGGACAAAGGAUAAAAAACAAUCAACUAACUAACUACGAGGCAGCACUUCCAGCAUCCGAAGACUCAGCACCGCUCUUGCCACUCGUGCUUUCCUCGAUACUAUCAUGAACCCAGCGCAAAUGUCACUGACACACGGCAAGAGCACGGCGAAAAGUAGAAAGCUCAGCUGACUGACGCUCCGAAGCAGCACGUAACUGCGUGAUCUCAGCCAUCAUACGAGCCUGCUGCUCGACCAGUGUAGACAUCUGUCCCAUAAGCGUCACCAUAGGGUCAACGGGCAAAGCAGCCACCCCAAGAGCAGAAGUAGAUGUCGAAGGAAAGGUAGAGCUAAGCGGAAUAGCUAAAGGAGGAUCGGAACGAGAAGGAAGAAAGACACGAGAACCCCCAGUAAGAAUAUCAGUAAUAGGAUCAAGGGGCUCCGAAAAAUUAAAGACAUCAACAGGCUCAGCCUGAGC
rnacentral:lncRNA from 1 species